UUAACCACAGAGGCAGUCAUGAUAAAAAAAAUUCACGUUUACAAAGUGCUCUGUGGACUAAAUUUGUGCUUGAAACAGUGAUAAUUAGGUCUCACAAUGUGCCUUUUUUGUUUACUCUGUUAGUGCCACUUUAUAAAAACACAUUUAAUAGUACAAUAUUAUUACUACAUAGUCUUUAAAACUGACAAAAUACAUGACAUAUAUUAAGAGGUGAAGAAAUUAAGAAGAUAUUCUUGAAGCCUAUUAUAACACCCUUAAUAUGUUAUAUAUUAAUAUUUUUAGUGAAUAGUAAAAUAGAACUAUUAUUAUUAAACUCUUAUAUUUUAGAUUAUUCUUUUAUUUUGGACAGUUGUUGAAUUGACUUUUGUCGGUGCCUGCUUUAUAGACCUGUAUGUAUUACAGCAUCUAAUUAAACUGGAGUUUCAGCCCCACAGUCACUUAUAAUGAAGCUGUUCUACGGGAUUUGUUUUGAUUUUCAUCAAUAUUAAUGGAGUGUACACAUGCAAACAGAAAAAUCAGUCGGCUACAAGUUGUUGUGUUUUUUUUGUUGUUUUUUUUAACACAGAAAUAUAAAAUGAACAUCUGUCAAUUUAAAUCAAUGCGAGAAUUGCUUUGCUUUAUUAUAUUAAAAUAUAAUGUAUAUUAAACUAUAGCAGGUCACAAAUUUAAAAUUCUAUCUGAUUUCCUGCAUUGUUUACAGAAGGAAUAGACACAUUUGAUAAUUCAAUUAGACUUUAUGUGCUGUUAAAGUACCGUAUAUUUUUCUAUGCCAAACUGCAACAUUUUAAUCAUUACGACAGCACAGACUGAUAUACAUAAGUUUCUUCUUGGCUUAAAAUUCUCACCAUGCAUCAGCAGAAAGUGCAAUAACAUCUAAACGAAAAGAUACACGCUCCAUGAAUUACUUCUAUAAAAUGACUUGCUUGGGAACCAAUAAGCUGAAUAGGACACCGUCAAUAUGCCACUAACAUCCUUUGGGAUAGUUUAUAAUAAAAUGUAACUGUAACCAUAUGACCACGCAUGAAUAAUUUGUUUAUUUUCUCUCAUACAGAAACUGCAUCUGUAAUAGGUUGCAAUCAACC